AUGUCAUAUAUAUUUUCUGUGAAAAUUGUGGGAUUUAAUAAAAAACAGAAAAAAGACCCAAUAUGCAGGCUCUUUGCCGUCUGCCACAGACGGCAACGAGCCUUUGCCGUCAGCCGCCAGGAAGCAGACGGCAAAGUAGCUGUUUACCGUAGCCUACUUUACCGGAGCCUUUUGCCGUCCGCGGCUGACGGCAAAGGCCUUUGCCGUCCGCCGUUCAUGCCUUUGCCGUCCGCCAUGGCAGACGACAAAAUAGCUGAUUCCUGUAGUGAAUGUGUCCGCCGCAGCCACCGUCAGCCCCGAUUUCGACGGGAAUGGAACCGCAAGCCUCCUCCACAACCCCGUCGGCCACUCCUCCUAGUGCUACACUGCCAGCGUCGACCCACGCGCCGUCGCCCGGGUUAA
rnacentral:rRNA from 1 species